rnacentral:tRNA from 1 species
GGGGAGAUGUGAGAGUGGUUUAAUCAGCAGUCCUGGAAAGACUGUAGGCGGUCAAAAGCUGUCUCGAGGGUUCGAAUCCCUCUCUCCCCG